rnacentral:rRNA from 1 species
CAGAACGAACGCUGGCGGCAUGCCUAACACAUGCAAGUCGAACGAGACCUUCGGGUCUAGUGGCGCACGGGUGCGUAACGCGUGGGAAUCUGCCCUUCGGUUCGGAAUAACUCAGGGAAACUUGAGCUAAUACCGGAUAAUGACGUAAGUCCAAAGAUUUAUCGCCGAAGGAUGAGCCCGCGUAGGAUUAGCUUGUUGGUGGGGUAAUGGCCCACCAAGGCGACGAUCCUUAGCUGGUCUGAGAGGAUGAUCAGCCACACUGGGACUGAGACACGGCCCAGACUCCUACGGGAGGCAGCAGUGGGGAAUAUUGGACAAUGGGCGAAAGCCUGAUCCAGCAAUGCCGCGUGAGUGAUGAAGGCCUUAGGGUUGUAAAGCUCUUUUACCCGGGAUGAUAAUGACAGUACCGGGAGAAUAAGCUCCGGCUAACUCCGUG